AAACCAAAACACUGGAUCGGGACUUGGCUGCGGCGGCGAACGUGACACACUGCUCGUAUCGCACAGUCCAUCUCAAGCUGCGGCUUUUAUCCCCGCCAGCCUCCUCCCACGCCGGCCACUUCUACAGUUCUACUCCGGUGGGCCUACGAGGUGCGCUUCGUUCGCCGCUCUCUUCUGAGAAGCCCGCCUCCCGUCGCUUGCCGUCGACCUCCCCGCCCUCGCUCGGACGCAGCGUUUGUUGGGGGCAUAGCAUAGCUCUCAUGGGUCCUCCAGUUCUUUCUACUGAUGGUGGAAGCUGCCCUUCUAACCCACCAGCUAUAUGCAGAAGUAAACUGGCUAAAUCUACAAUAGAGCUAAGGAAGCCGUUUGCUUCGGUCACCAUGAAAGAGGAACCAUUUAACUUCUUACGCACUUUAUGUGAUGGUGUGGUAGCUGGAGCUACUGCUGGAGUGGUUGUUGAAACAGUUCUUUACCCAAUAGAUACUAUAAAAACCCGGCUUCAGGCUGCUCGAGUUGGAAGCAAAAUUCAUUGGAAAGGCUUAUAUUCAGGAUUGGCUGGCAACCUGGCAGGAGUUUUACCGGCCUCUGCCAUAUUUGUGGGGAUAUAUGAACCAACCAAACAACAACUAGUGAAGAUGUUUCCAGAAAAUCUCAGUGCUGUUGCCCAUUUGACCGCUGGCGCUAUUGGUGGACUUGCUGCUUCACUUAUUCGUGUUCCAACAGAGGUUGUCAAACAAAGGAUGCAAACUGGGCAGUUUACCUCUGCACCUAAUGCUGUUCGUCUUAUUGCUGCUAAAGAAGGAAUCAGAGGUUUAUAUGCUGGUUAUAAUUCUUUUCUUUUACGAGAUCUACCUUUUGAUGCAAUCCAAUUUUGUAUAUAUGAGCAGCUCCGGAUUGGGUACAAGAUCGCAGCAAGGAGGGAAUUAAAUGAUCCAGAGAAUGCUUUAAUUGGUGCAUUUGCAGGUGCAAUAACUGGAGCUGUAACUACACCACUUGAUGUGAUGAAGACUAGAUUGAUGGUUCAGGGUUCAGCAAGUCAAUACAAGGGGCUGAUCAAUUGUGCUCAGACAAUUUUGAAAGAAGAAGGCCCAGCUGCUUUCUUAAAGGGCAUUGGACCAAGAGUAUUAUGGAUUGGCAUCGGCGGCUCAAUCUUCUUUGGCGUUCUGGAGAGGACAAAACUGUUGCUUUCCCAGCGACAUUUCGAUCAGAGAAUCAAAUCUUAGCCGUCUACAUAGCAGCAUAUUGCUGGAGUUUUCCAGCAACCACAUCGCAGAGAUGACUAGAACUCUUCUUCCCUAGAGAUUUACAAACAGCAGGGACUAUUUUAUCGACAUUGUUCCUAAUCAUUUCCCCUCUUCAGUAUUUUCACAAUGCUAUUAUGAUACCUCAAACACUUGGACGGCCAGAUUUGAGCUAGGGGCGCUGGUGGUCCGUUUUCGACCGUCAGAUCAUGAUGUCUCAGUUCUUAAGGAUAUUAUUAAAGGGCCGCUCGAUGAGUUGGGCUCUGUGAGCUUCCUGCGAGACCUUGAUCGAGC